rnacentral:lncRNA from 1 species
UAUCAAUAUUUUCUUCCUCUCGUUCAUUGGGCUUUAUUGCACUAAGUUCCACCGACAGCCUCCUCACGUUAGGGACACGCCUUCGCUAAAUGUUCAUUGGGCAGACUCUAAUAGUUACUGAUUCUUUUUUAAGCAGCUUGCCUCCUUCUCUUCUGCCAUUCGCGACGCCCGGUGCCUAUCACGCACCCUUUCAGGAGAAAAGCUGCUGCCAAUCCUUUCGAUUCUUCUUUUCUGUCUUUGUAUCAUUGGACGAAACAUCCAUUCCAUCAAGCGUAUCAGCCCCGCCCUUCCAGAGAGAAUCGACCAAUGAGGGGUGUUGUUGACACUGAUCAACAACGCACAACUCCUCUGCACGAAUUUUUNGGGGGGCGCCGCUGUCCGCCCUCCCGCCCUCUCUUCUCUUUCCUUAGAGAGAGGGAGCGCGCGCGCCUAGGAGAGAAAAGGGAGGCGGGGCAAUGCUUGACGCCUUACCCACGCGGCAGCGCGCUGUUGCUGNCGCUCGCUCGCUAGCCCGCCGCUGCUGGCAGUCAGGCAGUCAGUCUCAAGGGCGCGCGCGCUCGCUCGCUCGCUCCCCCUGCUUGCGAGCUGCUGGUGCUGCUGCCGCCUCGUGCCCUUCUUCACUCCCCACAGUCGGGUCGUCGGGCUCUGUGUGUCUGUGUGUGUGUCUGUCGCCCGCGUUGCGCCUUCUCGAGUAUUCGCCUUCUGCCGCGUGCGGGGAUUACGGAGAAGCGGUGAGCUUCGAGCUCGCCCGCUCCCUGUCUCCCGAGGGCCGCUCAAGCAGACUGAAUUGGAAGCCGCGAGGAGCUGGGAAGUCCCCCUCCCCAUGCAUUCCGCAUCUGCAGAAGAUUUUGGAACACCAAAAUGAGUGAGGGGAAAUGAUCUUGAUUCUGUCCUUCUGCAUUUUUUUAUGAUGCUGUGCUUUUUUCUUAAUUGAGAAGUAAGAAAUGAUUCUCAUGUAUUUUCUGUCCUAAGGCUUACUCCCUAAAUCACCUAAGUGUCUAAUUAAACUGUGAUGGUACCUAACUGCUAUACUGUAGCAUUAACACUGGCAUAACAUUUUGAUUUGUAAUUCUCUGUUAUUCUCUGAUGAUACUUUUCAGUGUUUGCCUUUGCAUUUAUAAAAAU